GAAAUGCGAUAAGUAAUGUGAAUUGCAGAAUUCAGUGAAUCAUCGAAUCUUUGAACGUACAUUGCGCCCGCCAGUAUUCUGGCGGGCAUGCCUGUUCGAGCGUCAUCUCAACCAUCAAGCCCCAGGCUUGUGUUGGGGACCUGCGGCUGCCGCAGGCCCUGAAAACCAGUGGCGGGCUCGCUGUCACACCGGGCGUAGUAGAUUUUAUCUCGCUCAGGGCGUGCUGCGGCUUCCGGCCGUUAAACACCCUUAUAUACCAAGGUUGACCUCGGAUCAGGUAGGAAUACCCGCUGAACUCAA
rnacentral:misc_RNA from 1 species